UAGAAAUCCUGACAGCACUUUCCAGUGCACAUAGCUGAACUGAUAUAGUUAAAUAUAAGUUAAAACUAUAAACAAAUGGUUACUUUCAUGUUCUCAAGGUUAGAAAGAAAGGAACAUUGGAAUCAACGAAGCUGUGGCAUAAGCAAAAUACUGGCAAAAAAGCUCAACUUUAACGACGAUGGCGUCUUACGGCCAAAGACUAAGCGCCCUGCUGUCACUGUACAAGAAUAAUUCCAAAAUCACUUAUUCUUUUCUCUCCAACUUUUCUUGGACUCGCAGGUUGUCUUCAUCCAAUUUCCCAUCUCAGUUCGAAAGGAUUGGAUUCAUUGGACUGGGAAACAUGGGAUCACGGAUGUGUAAUAACUUGAUCAAGGCGGGAUACAAUAUCGCUGUCCAUGAUAUCAACCAUGAUGUCAUGACGAUGUUCUCUGAGAAAGGAAUUCUCACGAAAGAGUCACCUGUUGAAGUUGCCAAAGCAAGUGAUGUUGUAAUAACAAUGUUGCCGUCAUCAUCCCAUGUACUUGAUGUUUACACUGGACCGAAUGGUUUGCUUCAUGGUGGAGAUGGACUUAGACCAUGGUUGUUUAUUGAUUCCUCUACCAUUGACCCUCAAACAUCAAGAAAGAUUUCCGUGGCCAUUUCUGAUUGUAUGUUAAAGGGAAAAGAAGGUGUGAUGUCAAGGAAAAUAAGAAAUGACUGGGAGACUCCUUCCAUGUUGGAUGCUCCUGUAUCUGGAGGUGUUCUUGCUGCAGAGACUGGAUCGCUUACUUUCAUGGUUGGUGGCUUGGAGAAAGCUUAUGCAGCUGCAAAACCUUUGUUCCUCUCAAUGGGCAAAAACACCAUUUAUUGUGGAGGAGCAGGAACUGGUUCGACAGCAAAGAUUUGCAACAAUUUAGCGAUGGCUGUCAGUAUGCUUGGGGUGUCGGAAGCCUAUGCACUUGGUCAGUCUUUGGGAAUUGCUGCAAGUACUUUAACAAAGAUAUUUAACUCUUCAAGUGCUCGCUGUUGGACGAUUCUUAUAAUCCAGUGCCUGGAGUGAUGGAUGGAGUGCCAGCUUCAAGGAAUUAUGAUGGGGGGUUUGCUUCCAAGCUAAUGGCUAAAGAUCUAAACCUUGCGGCAGCAUCAGCCAAAGAAGUCGGUCUCAAAUUUCCUUUAACAUCAGUAGCAGAAGAGAUAUUCACAGAGCUCAAUGAUGCGGGUUAUGGAACAAAGGACUUCUCUUGUGUUUUCCGGCAUUACUACUCUGGCAAGGAUGAGCAGUAAUUUAUUUGGAAUUGCAAUUUGAUGGUAGAUUGGUGUUGAAAUCUGGAGAUUUUACAGUUGUGACGCUUUGGAAUUUGUCUUUGAUUUACCUGUCAAAACUGAAAACCAUUUUGCUACAGCCAUUGAACAUAUUUAGCCCAUUUGAAGCUAAUUAUGCCUACUCAUUGUCCCUCUCCUUUUUAUGCAUUAGUUAGUCGAAAUUCGUCUCGAUAUUUUGUGGA